GCCAGUGUGGUGUAGUGACUUCAGCGUUGGACCAGGACUCUGGAGACCAGGGUUCGAAUCCCGGCUUGGCCA